rnacentral:rRNA from 1 species
UACGUAGGGUGCGAGCGUUGUCCGGAAUUAUUGGGCGUAAAGAGCUCGUAGGCGGCUUAGUAAGUCGGGUGUGAAACCUCCAGGCUCAACCUGGAGACGCCACCCGAUACUGCUGUGGCUAGAGUCUGGUAGGGGGAUCUGGAAUUCCUGGUGUAGCGGUGGAAUGCGCAGAUAUCAGGAGGAACACCGGUGGCGAAGGCGGGUCUCUGGGCCGAUACUGACGCUGGAGGAGCGAAAAGCGUGGGGAGCGAACAGG